GACGAACCGUGCGAACGUUGUUCGGAAUCACUGGGCUUAAAGGGCGCGUAGGCGGCUUGCCAAGUCAGGGGUGAAAUCCUCCAGCUCAACUGGAGAAGUGCCUUUGAUACUGGCGAGCUCGAGGGAGGUAGGGGUGUGUGGAACUUCUGGUGGAGCGGUGAAAUGCGUUGAUAUCAGAAGGAACGCCGGUGGCGAAAGCGACGCACUGGACCUCUUCUGACGCUGAGGCGCGAAAGCUAGGGGAGCAAACGGG
rnacentral:rRNA from 1 species